rnacentral:rRNA from 1 species
GAUGAACGCUAGCGGCAGGCCUAAUACAUGCAAGUCGAGGGGCAGCACGGGUAGCAAUACUUGGUGGCGACCGGCGCACGGGUGCGUAACGCGUAUGCAACCUACCUUUUACUGGAGAAUAGCCCGGAGAAAUUCGGAUUAAUACUCCAUAAUAUCACAUGAGAGCAUUUGAGUGUGAUUAAAGUUCCGACGGUAAAAGAUGGGCAUGCGUGAAAUUAGCUAGUUGGUGAGGUAACGGCUCACCAAGGCGACGAUGUCUAGGGGAUCUGAGAGGACCACCCCCCACACAGGUACUGGGACCCGGACCAGACUCCUACGGGAGGCAGCAGUAAGGAAUAUUGGUCAAUGGAGGCAACUCUGAACCAGCCAUGCCGCGUGCAGGAAGACGGACCUAUGGUUUGUAAACUGCUUUUGUAACAGAGAAAACCCUCUUACGUGUAAGAGGCUGAUAGUAUGUUAAGAAUAAGGAUCGGCUAACUUCGUGCCAGCCGCCGCAGUAA